CCUACGGGUGGCAGCAGUGAGGAAUAUUGGUCAAUGGCCGAGAGGCUGAACCAGCCAAGUCGCGUGAGGGAAGAAUGUCCUAAGGAUUGUAAACCUCUUUUGUCGGGGAGCAAAUAGGCUCAGCGGAGUCGUAUUGAGAGUACCCGAAGAAAAAGCCUCGGCUAACUCCGUGCCAGCAGCCGCGGUAAUACGGAGGAAGAGAGCGUUAUCCGGAUUUAUUGGGUUAAAAGGGUGGGCAGGCGGCGUGUAAAGCCGGCGGGAACAUAGCGGGGCUCAACCCCGGCGAGCCGUUUGAACUGGCGCGCUUGAGUGCAGGCGAGGUAGGCGGAAUUCGUGGUGUAGCGGUGAAAUGCAUAGAUAUCACGAAGAACUCCGAUUGCGAAGGCAGCUUACCAGUCUGCGACUGACGCUCAGGCACGAAAGUGUGGGUAUCGAACAGGAUUAGAUACCCCAGUAGUC
rnacentral:rRNA from 1 species